rnacentral:tRNA from 1 species
UAGGACGUCGUCUAACGGAAAGACACUAUGUUUUGGCUGUAGUAAUGAUUGUUCAAUUCAAUCCGUCCUAG